UAUGCUUAUUGAAUGGCCACUGAGCAAAGC
rnacentral:piRNA from 1 species